rnacentral:rRNA from 1 species
AUUGAACGCUGGCGGCAGGCCUAACACAUGCAAGUCGAACGGUAACAGGAAGCAGCUUGCUGCUUUGCUGACGAGUGGCGGACGGGUGAGUAAUGUCUGGGAAACUGCCUGAUGGAGGGGGAUAACUACUGGAAACGGUAGCUAAUACCGCAUAACGUCGCAAGACAAAAGAGGGGGACCUUAGGGCCUCUUGCCAUCGGAUGUGCCCAGAUGGGAUUAGCUAGUAGGUGGGGUAACGGCUCACCUAGGCGACGAUCCCUAGCUGGUCUGAGAGGAUGACCAGCCACACUGGAACUGAGACACGGUCCAGACUCCUACGGGAGGCAGCAGUGGGGAAUAUUGCACAAUGGGCGCAAGCCUGAUGCAGCCAUGCCGCGUGUAUGAAGAAGGCCUUCGGGUUGUAAAGUACUUUCGGCGGGGAGGAAGGGAGUAAAGUUAAUACCUUUGCUCAUUGACGUUACCCGCAGAAGAAGCACCGGCUAACUCCGUG